rnacentral:rRNA from 1 species
GACAGAGGUGCCGAGCGUUAGGCGGAAUCACUGGGCUUAAAGCGUGUGUAGGCGGGCGGGCAAGUACCUUGUGAAAUCCCACGGCUCAACCGUGGAACUGCUGGGUAUACUGCCUGUCUUGAGCCAGCCAGGGGCAGUCGGAACAGACGGUGGGAGCGGUGGAAAUGCGUAGAUAUCGUCUGGAACGCCAAAGGUGAAAACAGACUGCUGGGGCUGUGCUGACGCUGGAGGCACGAAAGCCAGGGGAGCGAACGGGG